rnacentral:rRNA from 1 species
UACGAAGGGGGCUAGCGUUGUUCGGAUUUACUGGGCGUAAAGCGCACGUAGGCGGAUCGUUAAGUCGGGGGUGAAAUCCUGGAGCUCAACUCCAGAACUGCCUUCGAUACUGGCGAUCUUGAGUCCGGAAGAGGUGAGUGGAACUCCUAGGUGUAGAGGUGGAAUCGUAGAUAUUAGGAAGAACACCAGUGGCGAAGGCG